AUUGUCCUAAGAAGAUUUAAUCUU
rnacentral:piRNA from 1 species